UGCCAGCAGCCGCGGUAACACGGGGGGUGCAAGCGUUAUUCGGAAUUAUUGGGCGUAAAGGGCGCGUAGGCGGCCUUGUCGGUCAGAUGUGAAAGCCCGGGGCUCAACCCUGGAAGUGCAUUUGAAACAGCAAGGCUUGAGUACUGGAGAGGAGAGCGGAAUUCCUGGUGUAGAGGUGAAAUUCGUAGAUAUCAGGAGGAACACCGAUGGCGAAGGCAGCUCUCUGGACAGAUACUGACGCUGAGGCGCGAAGGCGUGGGUAGCGAACAGGAUUAGAUA
rnacentral:rRNA from 1 species